AAGUGCUUUAGAAAGCGCGAAAAUUAAAUUCCUCGAAGUGAUCAGCUGAUCACAGAUACAGGGAAUAAGACUUGAAAUUUUGUCAACAAUUGUUUGAUCAAUAAAUAACAAUAAAGAGGCCAAAUAAAAUCGAUUAUGUUUUUAACAAUAGUUAGACGAGGAAUAAAUAAUGAAUGUUCUCGAAAGUUUGUUAUAUUUUGUCAUAAAUGUGUAAAUAAUCAGUUGAAAUAUUCUUACAAAAGAUUGUCAAGAGGUUAUAUUGCGUUAUCACAGAAUAUUAAUUGUUUAAAUCAAUCUAGGAGUGUGAAUCAAUUUUGCAAUAAUAAAUUAUUUAAAAAUAUUGUAACUAAUUAUUCAGAUUUAUCUGAAAAAGAAUUGGACUUUGUACAAUUUGAAAGAAUUUCUAAUGAAACUCUAGAUUCAUUAACAGAAUAUUUUGAUGAACUCAUUGAAAAAGCUGAACAUUUAGAUGAUGCUGAUGUAUCAUAUGGGGAUGGAGUUUUAACCGUAAAAUUUGGAAGUAAUUACGGAACGUAUGUUAUAAAUCGUCAGACUCCCAAUAAACAAAUCUGGUUGUCUUCCCCAACAUCAGGACCAAAACGCUAUGAUUUUAUUGAUCACACUUGGAUUUAUAAGCAUGAUGGAAAAAGCAUGCAUGAUUUACUAGACGAAGAAAUACCAGUUAUUAUAAAAGGGCCAACAUCAUUUAGUAAAUGUACUUUCAGCAAGAGAAUUAAAUAAAUUAUUCUUGUAAAAAUUGAUCAGUAAACUGUCAAACUUUGAAAAGGCUUUCGUGAGAGAUUUUUUUACACGCAAAUGGAUGGUGUGUGAUUUCAAAGGGAAAUUAAAUUUUUUCUCUUAGGAGAACAUGGAUGAGAUUAUGGAAGAUGG